rnacentral:tRNA from 1 species
GCAGUUGUGGCGGAAUUGGCAUACGCGCUAGAUUCAGGUUCUAGUCCGGGUUUCCGGGUAGGGGUUCAAGUCCCCUCAACUGCACUA